rnacentral:rRNA from 1 species
UACGUAGGGGGCAAGCGUUGUCCGGAUUUAUUGGGCGUAAAGAGCGUGUAGGCGGCCGCACAGGUCCGUUGUGAAAACUGGAGGCUUAACCUCCAGACGUCGAUGGAAACCGUGCGGCUAGAGUCCGGAAGAGGAGAAUGGAAUUCCUGGGUGUAGCGGUGAAAUGCGCAGAUAUCAGGAAGAACACCCGUGGCUAAGGCGGUUCUCUAGUACGGUACUGACGCUGAGACGCGAAAGCGUGGGGAGCGAACAGG